ensembl:lncRNA
CCAGGAUAAGCCAUAUUGCCUUUGAAUUCUCUUCAGCUGCGUGGCUGCUCGGGGUUCUCUCUGCCCUUUGGUACCACGCCUGUGGGCACCCACAUGGCUGGCAGCAUCCUCUGCUGAUCACACUGGUCUCGCAACAGAGAUAUAAGAGAGGUACAACACAAAAAGGGGUGAAACAAAGUUUUAAAUAAAUAAAUAAAUAAAUAAAUAAAUAAAUAAAGGAAACUAAGUCCACUACUCCUCCUACAUCUGUAGAUAUGCUUGUGGACGUGUCUACGUUACACGUGGUUUCACAUCUGCAGUAUUCAUCUCCUAAGCCUAACAGACCAUGAAGCCUAUUAACAGAGCGCUGAGUUUAAGACGAUGAAUUUUGCUGGGAUGUAGUAUGAUGUAGCUCGUAUUUCACGAGCAGGCUGGCAUGCAUAUUGGUCCUCAACUGGCUCUUGUCCUGCAAAUUCAGUGAUGGAAGUACCCACACUUACCCCUACAGCAUGAAGUUUCCAUGGAAAGAAAUAGGAGGCAUUACUUUCAGAGUGACCUACGUACUGGAAGAAAAGGUCAAGGAAAAAAGAAUGAACAGGCAGGCAGCAUUAAAAAUUCUAAAUCAACUGUGGUACAAAAUUAGGAUGAAUAAGGUAAAAGAAGAAGCCAAUGUAAUGAACACAGAAGAGUUUAUAGAAGAUGGCAUGGUGUGAGAGAGGAGUCUAUGACAUCCUUCAUUAACUCUCACUGAUGGAAAGGGAGCAUUUAGUCCAAGAUUUUUUACUACACCAGGAGAGGCAAGACAAGGCAAGGCAAGGAUGCCAGGAGGUCAAAAAUAAUUCAGAAUUUGCACCAUACUGUAUUUUUGUUUGGACAAGCGCUUUUUUUAAUAAAAGAAGCUCUGUCAUAAUCCCUGCAAUUAAUAAAAUUAUCUGAAGGUAUUACAUUAAA